AAAUAAUUAAAUCCAAUAAAUUAGCCUUUAAUGCAAUUAAAGGUGCACUAACAACUGGGAAUCCGAUUGUUUUAAGCCUCAAACCCAAGCGGAAACGAUAGGGCCAGCGGUGCCGUUCAAGAAGGAGAGAAAACCAGUUGCAACAGACUCUUUCUCAUUAAGGAAAAGAUAUUCAGGGGCCUGAAAAGCAGCAUGCGUACACAUAAUUGCGAGACCAACCAUCAAAGCAGAAAAAAAGGACGGAUCCAACAUUGGUUAGAAAGAUGACAACAAUAGUAGAUAUAAUUAGAACACCAAUCAUCUGCCGUUCGAAAAACUACCGAUCGAAAAGGACCAAAGGAGGAUCGAAAUGACGGAAGAGGUAGAGAAAUAGCCAAGCAGCGAGAAAAGCGGUGAGAAGGAGAAAGGGAAAACAGGUUGGUUAUAAGUGAAACCUCAAGGACGACAACCAAAUUCAAUUCAAUUACAACUAAAUUUUCUUUUUCUUUGCUUAGGAUUAAAUUUAGAAUCAGGUUCCUUUAAUUGGCGAUUCAAAAAACAUCGACAACAUUCCACAAAGAUUUUAAUUUUUCAACAGUGGUUUUGUUAUUGUUGUGACAAGGAAUGUGGUGUCUUUAGGUGGAGUUUUGAAUUUGUAUUUUGUUGACCCUCUUUGGAUGGCUUCCUGGUAUAAUCUAUGUGGUUUGGAUCCUCACCAAGUGAUCUACCCAUGGUGGAUAGGUGAAGCCCAUUACUAAAGUCUAUUUUCGCCAAUGGAGUAUCUACUUACUGUUUUGUUUAUUCUUGAAUGUAUUUCUUCUAAGUUUAUCCCCUUUCUUUUGUUUUUGGCUAUUCUCUCUUGUGUGUUCCAUUAGAAAAGUUUGGAUAGAGUAUUGAUGUUAAAGUAUCUUAAUUAUAUUGGUUGUGUAAGUCCUUUGGAUUGUAAUUUGACUUCUAUUUUGUUAUUUUAAUUGAAUACACCAAUAAUUGUCACUAUAAUUUUUU